CACGUAGGGGGCGAGCGUUGUCCGGAAUCAUUGGGCGUAAAGAGCUCGUAGGCGGCUCGGUAAGUCGGGUGUGAAACCCCCAGGCUCAACCUGGGGACGCCACCCGAUACUGCUGUGGCUAGAGUCCAGUAGGGGAGUGUGGAAUUCCCGGUGUAGAGGUGAAAUUCGUAGAUAUCGGGAGGAACACCGGUGGCGAAGGCGGCGACCUGGGUCGAUACUGACGCUGAUGCGCGAAAGCGUGGGGAGCAAACAGG
rnacentral:rRNA from 1 species